rnacentral:lncRNA from 1 species
UUGCCUGGGAAGACAAGUGCGUCUCUCACCUACCUGUAGAGCAGCUGAGGGCUUAUCUGAGGGGUGCUGCAGUUGCUCUGACGAUUUUCAUGUUUCCUGUGGAAACCAUCCUGUCUCACAUACACUGCUCCUGGCUCUUUCGUUUCUGCCUUUCCUCUCUCACCUCCUGCCCAUUCCCCCAAUCUGAAUAAUCUUAGCAAUACAAUGUCUCUUUCUACCUAAAGUGGGGGUGCCAAGAGCAAGAGUUGAGCAAGAUAAUUUUAGACAUCAAAAGUGAUAGAAUCCCAGACUUUAUCUUGUUCACAUUCAUAUUUACCUUUUUUCAUGUCUCUAACAUUACUUCAAGAAGUGUCCACCCUCCUAAGAUCUAGAAGUCUGUCUUGUUAAAACCCAGUUGGUAAUGUUUGAUGAAUGAGUAAGUGAGUGAGUAAAUGAAUGAAUGAAUGAAUGAAACUGAAGUCAUACUUGAACUUCUACCAAAGAUGCUGGAGAAAUUGCUCUAUAUAUAUGAUAACUACCCUCCAAUAGCACAUAGCAGCAGAAAUUGAAGGUGUGUUCAUUUUGAAAGUUAGUCCUCAAAAAGAUGCCCUAAAGGGCACACUGAUUGUAUAGAGUCUUUAAGGGGGGGGGGGGUAGCAUUCUUUUUCCUUUCCUUUUUCUUUAUUCUGAUCUUGCAUCAAGCUGACUUAGCUUCCAGGUGGCUCCCUGGUGGGGCAAAGGGUAUGAAGCUGAUGUGCUAUAAAUUAUAGUGAUUACAACAUGACAGCAAGCCCCCAGCCGAGGCCUGGAACUCCCUGCUAGGAGGGCACUCAAGGACACUCAGUCUCCUGGAGGUUUAGGAGCUCAAAUGGCGUUGCCAGCUCCCAGAGCUUUUUAACUUCUAUAAUUCAGACACUUGUUGGAUGCAUUUUAUCUCCCAAUCAGUUUAAUUAGGAGAUGUCAGAUUAAAAGUGAUCUACUGCAUCUGAAAGGCACUUGAACUCCGAGACACACUUAAAAAAUUGUGAUCUUUCCUUGUCUCUCAUUCCAUCCCUCCAGCACCCAUGACAGGCAGUGUGAAGAAACAGAGCUUUGUGAAGCACCAGUGGCCAAAGUGGGGGUGGGGGUGGGGGGGCGGUAAGAACAGUGCAGUAGAGCUCAGGCAACAAGCAGUGUGGCAGGUGUCAGACACAACCCUUUCGAACAGCCAGGAUGAAAAUGAGUAUGCCUUUAUUUCCCGUCAUCAUCUCUUGCUUCUGGGUUUUUCUUUUGUAAAAAAAAAAAAGAAAGAACAGCUUUUUAACUGGCUCUGAGAUCAGAAAUGGCAAAAGGUAGACUGGGGUAUAAGCUAAAACUGAAGCAUCCGUGAAGUUAGGCAGCGAGGACGGAGAAGGCAGCACACGCUAGAAUCUCGGGGUCUCGAUUCUCUCAGUACCCAUCCAUUUGCAAGGACACAAUAAAAAAAAAAAAAAAAAAAAACUAUUGGCCACUGAAGAUCAGUAAUUCCAAAGCUACCAAGGUAAGAGCUAUGAAGUGAUCUUUUCCACUUGGACAGCUGCAAAUGAAAGAACUGUUUUCUGAAUAAAUUCUCUCAGCAGUGGCAAGCAGGGAGGCCACUCGGGACAGCCCCACAGCACGCGAUCUCACCUUCUGAGCUUUUCGGGCCAGGUGGAGGAACUGAGAGAGGAGAUGGGGGAAAGCUAUUUGCAAAGUUGUCUUUAUUAUACUAUACCAUGAUGCUUUAAAUUUUCAGAUAAAAAGAGCCUGCUUGGUUAAUGAUUAAUAGAUAUGACUAGAAAGGAGAAGACCUUAAAUAGGUCAGAUCAAGUGUAUUGGAGGCAGCCCUAUAAGAUACUAACAGAGACUAAACAGGUUUUAACUGCAGAUAUUGCUAUUAUAUGUUUGUAUAUUUAUUAUUAAAAUUUCAUUAGUCUUUUCCUCCUUGGUUUAAGAAAAGCAAAGUAGACAUCCCAAUGGGAUUUGACUGUGCUGUGUUUGUCGUCUCCAUUGAGCCCAUUCCAAUCUGUCUUGGGUCCAGUGAACUCCAGAAAGAGGCUGUGAGAAUGGAACUAUAUUAAGAACAACACCCUUAGCUAACUACAAAGGGCUUUUCCAACUCUAUGACCUUCCACAUUGAGUACAUGGAACCCUAGCACAGAGCUAGCCAUGUACUUUCAAUUUCUGGGUAGAAACUGUUACACAAAUGAGCUGUAAGAUCUCUGACACCCAGCAACUUAGUCUACUAGUGGCUGGUUCAAAUCUCAGAAUAAAUAAUUUUACUAAAUUGUGG